AUCAAUUGAAUAAAUGACAAACAAUAGCAAAGGUGGGGAGAAAAAUUUGUCUCAUAAAUAAACAUCUACUUCAUAUGAUAAUUUUAAGUGAGAUAUGUGGGUGGGAAUUUUUAACAAAUUGUUUGAUAAGAAUCACAAGUUAUAAAUGCUAAUGAUAAAAGGAAGUGACCACAACGCAUCUACACGUGAACUCGUGCCGACCCCGCAAAGAUCAUUGACCAAUAAGAAAGAUAUGAAAUCAAAUCAUGCAUUGGUCAUAGGUUAAAUUUCUUUGCACGUGGAAACCUGUUAUCUAAUUUCAAAAUUGUUUCUAAUCCGAACAAAACCAGUCAUUAUAUUACGCUCCCGAUCGAUCACUACAUAACCUCUGGAGGACUAUGACCGCAAGGGGCGCUGUAAAUAUUCGAGUAAGAAUUGCUCGUUAAAUUAAGUAGGACACUCUGACCCUUUGACUAGACUAGAGACAUCAUAAAUGUACAGUAUAGAUAGCUCUGUAACAAGCAAUUAAACCAGAACUAUCUUCUUUGCUGUCUUAGAUUAUUUUAUUCAGCUUAAUUUUUAAUUAGCAAAUAAAAUUAGUUUUAAGACAGACAGCUGGAUACCAUAAACACACUAUGUAUACACAGGCCAGAGUAUGAGCUUGAUUUGCUUUAUGAUAUAAAAAAACUAAACUGACGAAGAAAGGUCAUUUAUUC
rnacentral:lncRNA from 1 species